UGAACGCUGGCGGCGUGCCUAAUACAUGCAAGUCGAACGAGUUCUGAUUAUUGAAAGGUGCUUGCAUCUUGAUUUAAUUUUGAACGAGUGGCGGACGGGUGAGUAACACGUGGGUAACCUGCCCUUAAGUGGGGGAUAACAUUUGGAAACAGAUGCUAAUACCGCAUAAAUCCAAGAACCGCAUGGUUCUUGGCUGAAAGAUGGCGUAAGCUAUCGCUUUUGGAUGGACCCGCGGCGUAUUAGCUAGUUGGUGAGGUAACGGCUCACCAAGGCAAUGAUACGUAGCCGAACUGAGAGGUUGAUCGGCCACAUUGGGACUGAGACACGGCCCAAACUCCUACGGGAGGCAGCAGUAGGGAAUCUUCCACAAUGGACGCAAGUCUGAUGGAGCAACGCCGCGUGAGUGAAGAAGGCUUUCGGGUCGUAAAACUCUGUUGUUGGAGAAGAAUGGUCGGCAGAGUAACUGUUGUCGGCGUGACGGUAUCCAACCAGAAAGCCACGGCUAACUACGUGCCAGCAGCCGCGGUAAUACGUAGGUGGCAAGCGUUAUCCGGAUUUAUUGGGCGUAAAGCGAGCGCAGGCGGUUUUUUAAGUCUGAUGUGAAAGCCCUCGGCUUAACCGAGGAAGUGCAUCGGAAACUGGGAAACUUGAGUGCAGAAGAGGACAGUGGAACUC
rnacentral:rRNA from 1 species